rnacentral:lncRNA from 1 species
GCCCGUUCUUCAUCACUCUGGGCCUCAGUUUCCACAUCUAGCAAGUGGGAAUAAUAGUGUGAUCCAGGAGUUCCCAUUGUGGCUCAGCGGACACAAAACCGACUAGUAUCCCUGACCUCGCACAGUGGGUUAAGGAUCCAGCAUUGCCGUGAGCUGUGGUGUAGGUCACAGAUGCCGCUCGGAUCUGGAGUGGCUAUGGCUGUGGUAUAAGCCAGUGGCUACAGCUCUGAUUCAGCCCCUAGCCUUGGGACCUCCCUAUGCUGCAGGUACAGCCCUAAAAAGCAAAAAUUAUGAUAAUAAUGUGAUCCAGAAUCUUCAUCUCAGGAAUAGUGUGAACGGCAAAUGCGAAUUACCUAGGUUUUACAGCUCUCUGUGUAUGUGGUGCUUUUUAACUGGACCUUGUUGGGCUACAGCCACCCGACGGUGACCCUUAAAGGACCCCGCAGACCCUCAUCUGCGUUCCAAUGGCAAGUCAGUCUUCAAGAUGAAAAACAUCUUUUAUUUAUUAGUCGAUUGUGUGGAUGGAAAUUUGGUUAGAAAUUGAAUUCCUGAUCUGCGUCCAGUCUUUCCUAAUGAUCCAUAUAAGGCAAGGGAAGUACUCCCUCACAGGAUCAGUUUACAAAUCUUAAGAAACCAAUAACUCCACGGUUCAUCUAACAAACAAGCCUGUUCCUGACUCAGCCUGCUCAGGUCAGCCUGCUCUUUGGGACUGCAGGGAGCUCCCUAAACAGAUACAAGAAUUCUGAUUUCAUCACCAAAAUGUCUUUUCUGAAAGGCAGUGCUGAGCCCCAACACGCAGGCUGGCUUGGACACAAUCCUUAGGGGUCAAGGCUGCUUGCAGAGAUUGCCUCCCUAGAAUGCAUAUGAGAUUUUCCCAAUGACCCCCCCACCCCCGCUUGCUGGCCAGGCCUGAUGUUUCUUUGACGAACACAAGGUUUUUCACUGAUGGAUGGAGAGACAGCCUAGAUGAGCACACGUACCUCAAGACACAGUUUACACUCCUCCCAGGCUGUCCGCUAUCAGCAUCUGGAAGAGAGCAGAGGACCCAGAAAGGGAAACUCGGGGACAAGGACAAGGCUGACCUUCUUUAGAACUUGGUCAAGCAUCAGUGCCGAACCCCAGGAACCGAAGCACAUUUUGGCCACAUCCUCCCCUCCACACAGAGCGCCUUCUGUCAUCACCUGCUUCUGUGCCUUCUGUCAUGAGCUCAAAGAGACUCAAAGAACAUCUGCAAGGAAAUACAUGCCCUGAUUUUCCCUUUGCCGUGAAGCCGUGGACACCAGGUUCUCAGUAUGCUGGGCUGGGUGGAGCCACCAACUAUGUAGGUACAUUGAACUUUGAGCCAACCCCCUGUCCUCUCCUGGCCUCAGGUUCCUCAUCGGUAAAAUGAGGAAGUUUCUGAGUUCUUUUCUAGUUCUUUUUUUUGGAAAUUAUUCAGUGGAGGCAAGACUAUACAGUGGAGAAAAGACAGCCUGUUCAAUAAGUGGUGCUGGGAAAACUGGACAGCCACAUGUAAAGGGAUGAAAUUAGAACACUCCCUAACACCAUCCACAAAAGUAAACUCAAAAUGGUGGAUUAAAGACCUAGAUAUAAGACCAGAUACUAUAAAACACUUAGAGGAAAACAGGCCAAACACUCUCCGACAUAAAUGACAGCAACAUCUGCUCGGAUCCACCUCUUAGAGUAAUGACAGUAAAAACAAAAAUCAACAAAUCGGACUUAAUUAAACUUAAAAGUUUCUGCACAGCAAAGGAAACCCUAAACAAAACAAAAAGACAACCCACAGAAUGGGAGAGAAUCUUUGCAAAUGAAUCGACUGACAAGGGAUUAAUCUCUAAAAUUUAUAAACACCUCCUACC